rnacentral:rRNA from 1 species
GAUGAACGCUGGCGGCGUGCCUAAUACAUGCAAGUCGAGCGGACGGACGAGAAUCUUGCUUUUCUGAUGUUAGCGGCGGACGGGUGAGUAACACGUGGAUAACUUACCUCUUAUUCUGGGAUAACUUCGGGAAACCGGAGCUAAUACCGGAUAAUAUUUUGAACCGCAUGGUUCAAAAGUGAAAGACGGUCUUGCUGUCACUUAUAGAUGGAUCCUCGCUGCAUUAGCUAGUUGGUAAGGUAACGGCUUACCAAGGCAACGAUGCAUAGCCGGCCUGAGAGGUGGGUCGGCCACACGGGAACUGAGACACGGUCCAGACUCCUAAGGGAGGCAGCAGUAGGGAAUCUUCCGCAAUGGGCGAAAGCCUGACGGAGCAACGCCGCGUGAGUGAUGAAGGUCUUCGGAUCGUAAAACUCUGUUAUUAGGGAAGAACAUAUGUGGAAGUAACUGUGCACAUCUUGACGGUACCUAAUCAGAAAGCCACGGCUAACUACGUG